rnacentral:rRNA from 1 species
AUUGAACGCUGGCGGCAGGCCUAACACAUGCAAGUCGAACGCGUGGCGGACGGGUGAGUAAUGUCUGGGAAACUGCCUGAUGGAGGGGGAUAACUACUGGAAACGGUAGCUCAUACCGCAUACCAUCAGAUGUGCCCAGCUGGGCUUAGCUUGUUGGUGGGGGAACGGCUCACCACGGCGACGAUCCCUAGCUGGUCUGGGAGGAUGAACAGCCACACUGGAACUGAUACACGGUCCAGACUCCUACGGGAGGCAGCAGUGGGGAAUAUUGGACAAUGGGCGCAAGCCUGAUGCAGCCAUGCCGCGUGUAUGAAGAAGGCUUUCGGGUUGUAAAGUAAUUUCAGCGGGGAGGCGUUACCCGCAGAGGAAGCACCGGCUAACUCCGUGCCAGCAGCCGCGGUAAUAC